AACGAACGCUGGCGGCAUGCCUAACACAUGCAAGUCGAACGAGACCUUCGGGUCUAGUGGCGCACGGGUGCGUAACGCGUGGGAACCUGCCCUUAGGUUCGGAAUAACUCCCCGAAAGGGGUGCUAAUACCGGAUAAUGUCUUCGGACCAAAGAUUUAUCGCCUUUGGAUGGGCCCGCGUUGGAUUAGCUAGUUGGUAGGGUAAAAGCCUACCAAGGCGACGAUCCAUAGCUGGUCUGAGAGGAUGAUCAGCCACACUGGGACUGAGACACGGCCCAGACUCAUACGGGAGGCAGCAGUGGGGAAUAUUGGACAAAGGGCGAAAGCCUGAGCCAGCAAUGCCGCGUGAGUGAUGAAGGCCUUAGGGUUGGAAAGCUCUUUUACCCGGGAUGAUAAUGACAGUACCGGGAGAAUAAGCUCCGGCUAAAUCAGUG
rnacentral:rRNA from 1 species